rnacentral:tRNA from 1 species
CACUAAGAAGCUAAACCAGCGU